rnacentral:rRNA from 1 species
CAGUAGCCGCGGGAAUACGUAGGGUGCGAGCGUUGUCCGGAAUUAUUGGGCGUAAAGAGCUUGUAGGUGGUUUGUCGCGUCUGCUGUGAAAAUCCGAGGCUCAACCUCGGGCUUGCAGUGGGUACGGGCAGACUAGAGUGUGGUAGGGGAGACUGGAAUUCCUGGUGUAGCGGUGGAAUGCGCAGAUAUCAGGAGGAACACCGAUGGCGAAGGCAGGUCUCUGGGCCAUUACUGACACUGAGAAGCGAAAGCAUGGGGAGCGAACAGGAUUAGAUACCCCAGUAGUCCCUGUCUCUUAUAC